UCCUACGGGAGGCAGCAGUGAGGAAUAUUGCGCAAUGGGCGAAAGCCUGACGCAGCAACGCCGCGUGCGGGAUGAAGGCCUUCGGGUCGUAAACCGCUUUUCCGGGGGACGAGUGAGGACGGUACCCCGGGAAUCAGUCUCGGCUAACUACGUGCCAGCAGCCGCGGUAAAACGUAGGAGGCGAGCGUUAUCCGGAUUCACUGGGCGUAAAGCGCAUGUAGGUGGACCGUCAAGUGGCAUGUGAAAGCCCCUGGCUUAACUGGGGGAGGCCAUGCCAAACUGGCGGACUUGAGGGCCGGAGAGGAAGGUGGAAUUCCCGGUGUAGCGGUGGAAUGCGUAGAGAUCGGGAGGAACACCAGUGGCGAAAGCGGCCUUCUGGCCGGCGCCUGACACUGAGAUGCGAAAGCGUGGGGAGCAAACGGGAUUAGAUACCCUGGUAGA
rnacentral:rRNA from 1 species